AGAGUUUGAUCAUGGCUCAGAUUGAACGCUGGCGGCAGGCUUAACACAUGCAAGUCGAGCGGGGAAAGGUAGCUUGCUACCUUACCUAGCGGCGGACGGGUGAGUAAUGCUUAGGAAUCUGCCUAUUAGUGGGGGACAACAUUUCGAAAGGAAUGCUAAUACCGCAUACGCCCUACGGGGGAAAGCGGGGGACCUUCGGGCCUUGCGCUAAUAGAUGAGCCUAAGUCGGAUUAGCUAGUUGGUGGGGUAAAGGCCUACCAAGGCGACGAUCUGUAGCGGGUCUGAGAGGAUGAUCCGCCACACUGGGACUGAGACACGGCCCAGACUCCUACGGGAGGCAGCAGUGGGGAAUAUUGGACAAUGGGGGGAACCCUGAUCCAGCCAUGCCGCGUGUGUGAAGAAGGCCUUUUGGUUGUAAAGCACUUUAAGCGAGGAGGAGGCUCCCAGUAUUAAUACUACUGGAGAGUGGACGUUACUCGCAGAAUAAGCACCGGCUAACUCUGUGCCAGCAGCCGCGGUAAUACAGAGGGUGCAAGCGUUAAUCGGAUUUACUGGGCGUAAAGCGUGCGUAGGUGGCCAAUUAAGUCAAAUGUGAAAUCCCCGAGCUUAACUUGGGAAUUGCAUUCGAUACUGGUUGGCUAGAGUAUGGGAGAGGAUGGUAGAAUUCCAGGUGUAGCGGUGAAAUGCGUAGAGAUCUGGAGGAAUACCGAUGGCGAAAGCAGCCAUCUGGCCUAAUACUGACACUGAGGUACGAAAGCAUGGGGAGCAAACAGGAUUAGAUACCCUGGUAGUCCAUGCCGUAAACGAUGUCUACUAGCCGUUGGGGUCUUUGAGACUUUAGUGGCGCAGCUAACGCGAUAAGUAGACCGC
rnacentral:rRNA from 1 species